UUUCCGUAGGUGAACCUGCGGAAGGAUCAUUAUCGUACAAAAUGUGAGGGGCAUGCGAGGGCUGUCGCUGACCCAUAAGUCGUGCACCCCCGAGUGUGUCCUCUUGCAUAAUAAUCCAUCUCACCCUUUGUGCAUCACCGCGUGGGCACCCUUCGGGAUCAUCUCGGAGGGGGGCUCGCGUUUUCACACAAACUUUGUAUGCAGUGUAGAAUGUAUUUUUUGUUUUUGCGAUCACGCAAUCAAUACAACUUUCAACAACGGAUCUCUUGGCUCUC
rnacentral:misc_RNA from 1 species